AGAUUGAACGCUGGCGGCAGGCCUAACACAUGCAAGUCGAACGGUAACAGGAAGCAGCUUGCUGCUUUGCUGACGAGUGGCGGACGGGUGAGUAAUGUCUGGGAAACUGCCUGAUGGAGGGGGAUAACUACUGGAAACGGUGGCUAAUACCGCAUAACGUCGCAAGACCAAAGAGGGGGACCUUCGGGCCUCUUGCCAUCAGAUGUGCCCAGAUGGGAUUAGCUUGUUGGUGAGGUAACGGCUCACCAAGGCGACGAUCCCUAGCUGGUCUGAGAGGAUGACCAGCCACACUGGAACUGAGACACGGUCCAGACUCCUACGGGAGGCAGCAGUGGGGAAUAUUGCACAAUGGGCGCAAGCCUGAUGCAGCCAUGCCGCGUGUAUGAAGAAGGCCUUCGGGUUGUAAAGUACUUUCAGCGGGGAGGAAGGUGUUGCGGUUAAUAACCGCAGCAAUUGACGUUACCCGCAGAAGAAGCACCGGCUAACUCCGUGCCAGCAGCCGCGGUAAUACGGAGGGUGCAAGCGUUAAUCG
rnacentral:rRNA from 1 species